rnacentral:ncRNA from 1 species
GCUAGAAAAUUGGGUAUUUUCCCAUCCUAUAUGUGAAUUUUAGUGAAUUUAAAAUUUAAAAAAUUUAAAAUUUAAUUAGCAGUAGAUAAUUUUAAAAAAUUUAGUAAUUUAAGAAUUAGUGAUUAUUUUAAAUAUUAACAAAGUUUGUGCCAGCAGUUGCGGUUAUACAAAUGAUAUAAUUCAAUUUUUUUAAUAUAAAUAGAUUUGUUUAUAAAAUUUUAUAAUAAGAAUUUUUAAGUGAAAUUUUAAUUUUUAUGUAAAAUUAAAUAUUUAAUAUGAUUUUUGUAAGUUUAAAUGAUAAACUAGGAUUAGAUACCCUAUUAUUUUAAAUAUAAAUUUAAAUAUUAAAUUAGUAUUAGUUAUGUUCUUGAAAAUUAAAAGAUUUGGCGGUAUUUUAGACUUUUCAGAGGAACUUGUCUUGUAAUUGAUAAUCCACGAUUUAAAUUACUUUUUUUUUAGUUUAUAUAUCGUUGUUAUUGAAAAUUUUAUAAAAUUUAUAAUUUUCAGAAUUUUAAAUUAAAAAAUAAAUCAGAUCAAGAUGUAGUUUAUAAAAAAGUAAUGAUGAGUUACAUUGAUUAAUAAUAUGGGAUAUUUAUUUUUAUAGUAAAUUGAAUUUGGAUUUGAAAGUAAUUUAAAUUAAUUAAUUUAAAUGAUUUAGCUCUAAAAUAUGUACAUAUCGCCCGUCGCUUUCAUUAUAAAAUGAAAUAAGUCGUAACAAAGUAGAUUUAUUGGAAAAUGAAUCUAGAAUAAU